CGCAACGGUAUCGGCAGUCGCACGCGGGAACCCGUAGGUUCUGUAAUCGGUUUGGUAAAACGGAGUAAUUUCGAUGUAGUACUCAAUGAUGUUGUGCGUGUUGCGAAAAAACGAAAUUGUCGCUAAUUCUUCGAUGUAGCGUGCGCGCGCGCGCGCGCGCUCCUCUACUUACACGUGCCUACGUGUGUGAGUGGGUUGUAUCGUUAACUGGAGCACGUGUGCGACAAUCAAUUAAGAAGAGGAGAAUAGUUGACUUUUCUUUUCGCCUUAUAUUUUAAAUAGUUGUGCGAAACACUCUUAUUGACCGGGCAUGAGUAUCGUUUCAACGUAACUCGUCCGAAUUUCUUUUUAAUCGUUAAUUCUUAAAUAAACAUUUUCCUCUUUCGAUUCCUCGAUAAGACGAAAUGAUAAUAUAUUCAUGAUUAGGCGUUUAAUAUAAUGGGCACCAAAGUAAAUGAGUGGCGUUAAUAAUAAAUAGACUCGACGCUGAGACUCGGCUUCAUUUCAAGCGUGAUCCCUGAAACGCGUUCGUUCUUUUUAGACAUUUCAUAUUUGAGACAUUCCAUUGCCUAAUUCGUUUCUCAAUCAGACUCUUUGGAUGAGACUUUUUCUUUUUUUUUUUUUUUUUUUCUUUUUGUAAAUAUAUGUUAACGUUUAAAGACGUUCCCCGUUAUGAAGGAUUAAAAAUGAAUCCGACAACGUUGAAGAAUUGGUUGGUACGCGGUGAGCUCGAGAAGCUUGAAAAUAUUGUGUUGGAGGGACGUGGCGCACGUUUGUUGGGCGAACAUUCUCCAGAUCUUAGAACCCGUGUCUUCCUAAAGGGACUCCCGAAUUAUCUGACGAAGAUAUCUCAAACUCACGACGCGGUUACGCGAGGUUCCUUGGUAGAAACUCAGAGGAUUAUAACGGAAGAACCAAAGAAAAAGUUGGCCAUCGCUAAGGAUCCAUCCGGGAUACCGCUCAUUCACAAGGCGAUUUAUCAUGAUCAACCAGAAAUAGUUGCAUGGCUUGUACAUAAUUACCCAAUCACGACUCAACAAAGGGACAAAGAAGGUAGAACGGCUUUACAUUAUUGCGCUGCCUGUAGAGAUCCUAGCACGGUGUGGGACAUUUUGAUAGAGGGUGGCUGCGACGCCAGUGUUUGCGACAAGCGUGGAAAUCCGGCAGCUUAUUAUCUUGAACACAGUUCCGAGGUCGAGUUAGCCGAAACGGAGAGGAUGCCUAAUCGAAAAGGCAGCACUACGAAAGAAACCUUUGACUUCAAGCCUUCCAAUAUAAGAAUAUGGAUUCAUAAUCGGGACAUUAGAAAAUUGCAGCAGGUUCUCUGGGAAGGUCACGGUGGCAAAUUACGAUGCGAGACAAGCAACAAUCCGAGGGUGAAGAAGUUUUUGGAAGCAGUACCUUUUAUAAUGGGUACCGUGAAAGAUGUACACUCAGCGACUGUGAAAAACGAUUUGGAGGGUCUGAAAAAGAAAUUAGAGGAUCCGGUCUCGCCUAUUAUUUUGUGUAGCAAGGAUGCAAACGGUUUGAACGUCUUGCACAAGGCUGCCGGAUUGGGUUAUUUGGAAGUCGCUCGUGAAAUCCUUGAGAGGUAUCCAUCGAUAAUAACGGCCCAAGAUAACGAAGGUAAAACACCGUUACAUUAUGCGGCUGCGUUGAAGGACGACGAUGCCGUGUACAAUCUAUUGACCGAGCAUGGUGCCGACGAAAGCAAAUUGGAUAACAAACAAAAGGCAGCCGCUUUUUAUAAAAAUCGCCCGUCCGACGUGGACCUAUCCAAUUUAGUCGUGAUACCGGAAGCGCCACGAGUAUCGGGUAUGUCCUAUCCAAAAAAUUGGGACUGGAGAAUCUUGGAGGUAGCUGAAACAUUUGUACGUCCAGCAAAGAAAUCGCCAAGUAGCAAUGAGGUCGACAGUGCAUUUGAAAACGCCGAACCAUCAAUUAGGAGCUCAAACGUUAUUACCGAGGACGCGAAAAUAGUUGAGGAAGAGAAGGAUGAUUCGAUUACGAAAGAUGAGGGUUUGUCCGUGCUUACGUCCGAAUUAGUCGAAGGAAACGAAGAGAAAUCGUCCGACGAUGAUGUAAUUACUGGCGCGAAAGACGACGACAAGGACGACGACGAGGACGACGACAAGGACGACGACAAGGACGACGACAAGGACGACGACAAGGACGACGACAAGGACGACGAGAAAGAUGAGGAAAUGACAGAAGAUACGGCAGAAGAAACGAAGGGAAACGAAGCGAAAGAGCAACCUCGAGAGAACGAGGAAUCCGAUAAGGUUGAGGAUACAACGAAUGAGCCGAUUGGUACCGAUCAAGAGGAGAGGAGUGAUCCUAGUACGGGCGACUCUGGGGUCGAUGAUCCAACGAACGAAGAAGAUCAGGUCAUCGUGGGCGAACACGAAGAGUUACCAGAAGCGGAAUUGAAAGAGGGUAGCAUGAUUUUGGAUCCGGAAGUGGAGAAUUUAUUGGAGAACGGAAAUAUGGAACAAUUGGCAGCGUUGGUGUUGAACGGCGAAGGUAGACGACUUGUUGGUCGACAAUCGAAUAAUCCCGAACUUCAGGCCUUCAUCGACAAUGUGCCUGCUUAUAUGGGAAAAAUUCACGCCGUACAUAUGGCAGCGCGAGAAGGGAAUCUAAGAGAUUUGCAAAGCGCAUUGGAUCGUCGCAAAUUUGCCGUAGCAAGGGACGGUUCGUCGCCUCGCGGUGCAACGCCUCUUCACGUUGCAGUGGUCUUUGGGAAUACAGCUGUCAUCAGGUAUCUGGCAGGAAGAUUCCCGGAAACGGCACACGCGAUCGAUCUCGACGGUAGAACGCCGUUGCAUUAUGCAACAACCCUCGCCGACAACGGACAUUAUUACAAUCUUCUUCUUAAUUUGGGAGCGAAUCCGCUUGUAAAGGACAAUUUAGGAAAUAAGGCGGAUCAUUACAAAUUAAAUCAGGAUGACCUAUCGCACAAAAGACUACUUCGUGAUUUCGGAGCCAGCGAAAAACUCGCCGAAGAAAUGUUGACGGACAAAGUGCCCGGAGGAGACAAGUACUCGGCGCGACGAGACGCUAGCGAACCAGAAACAUUGGCGACCUUGGAGAGAUGCUUCCGCUUGCUGGCUGGCGCUAGACGAAACUCAGCCGUUAGGACACCCUCGAAUCCUGACGAUAAUCAACUCGAUAUUCCUAUAUUUCGCACGGAGGAAGGUCGUUAUUUAGCAUCGUGUAAGUCUUUGGGUGAUCCAUUGAUCAAAGGUCUAACCGAAGUGGCGAAUGCACGUCCAAACGAUCCGGUCACAUAUUUGGCGACUUAUCUAUACAAUUUUGCUAGCAAUAAUAAAAGUGAAGAUCAGCGGGAAUCCAACGUAUUGAUAAUACCCGAACGUGAAAACGAAUCUCUCGACAAUCCUGACAAUGAAAACGGGGACGAGGACGCGGGCUAUCCUCAAAGUCCAGAUUCCGAUAUACCAGAAUCAACUUUUAGCAACCCAAACAGAGACGAGCACGGGCAAAGUAUGAUACACUUUGCAGCUGUACGUUCUUAUUCGAAAGACGGCUUGUAUCAUCUUUUGCAAGAGACACAGGUCAACGUCGGUUUUAGGGAUGAAGUUUAUCGAACAGCUAGGGACGUUGCGGAACAGGCUAAUAUCCGUGAGAAUGUCGAAGAGAUCGAUCGUUGGGUCGUAUAUUUGGCCGCAAGGGGUGAAACGGAAAAGUUGGUGGAACUUUUGCUGGAAGGUUACGAUCAUAUCCUCGACGCGGAAGACGAUAAAAUGAAUAUCGUUGACGUCGCGAUUCAGAGAGAUCACGAGGCGACCGUGCAAUUUUUACAAUCUAUUCCUAAUUACGUGGAUCAACGAGAGGAUACGCACCGUGCCAUACGUUUCGCCGAUGUCGCCAAAGUGAAGGAGCUUUUAAAUAAAAAUAACGGCGGUGGAAAGUUAUUAGCAGUUGGAAAAAAUAUAACCGGUCGGUGUGCCCUUCACAUCGCUGUUCUACGAGAAAACGAAGAGAUCGUACGAUUAAUAGCUAAUACGUAUCCGGAAACAUUGCGAAUUGGCGACAACCUUGAAAGAACUGCUCUUCACUAUGCAAUGGGAGUACCAUCGGUUGAAAUAUUAAGCAACAUUCUCAUAAAAGCGGGUGCGAAACGAAUCGUCAAAGAUUUGAAAUCACGACAGCCUUCGUACUAUUUUAUGAACAAAUCGGAUAUUGAGAGACUUCAGGAGGAGGAAGAAGCGAUGGGCAAGUAAUUAUGAAUUGUAAAAGAUGCUAACGUAUAAGCACUGUAUUUUUAUUCGCAGAUACUCUUUAGUCAUGUUUAUCGGGAAUAUAUUACCUGCAUAGUUUAUCAAAUGCAACGGCGCACAAUAAUACUGUCGUUAUUGCUUCGUUAAGAACGCAAUUAUUAAUGAAUAAUUGGAAUGAUUUAAGUACUUAUGGGCAUAGGAAAUCAGAUAAUCAAUCGAUAAAUAGUCAGAAGGAUGUAACAUACAAAAUAUAAUAUUAAUAAGUUGAUAUUGUGUAAUUGUGAAUGCGCGCAUCUGAAUACUUUUUUUUUAUAAUCCCAUGAUUCGCCUUCGUCCAAUAUGGCCAUUGAUCCAGACUGAUACCACGCACGUAUGUAGAUGCAACGCUUGUAAUAGCAACGAUACGAGCUCAUCUAAGACAAGCGAAUCUUAACAAAUCAUUUAUCCCGAAAUAUGAGCUUUUCAAAACCGUAGGUUUCACGACGUGAUUACGUCAAUGCUCUCCCUUUUUAUUUUUAAUUUUUCGUUUUACUUUCGUCCUUUUAACGCCGUCCCCUUGGCCGUCGUCCGUAUCGUCGUCGAUGAGCUUUUGCCACGGCAUGGGAUUUAUAAAUGUCGGCAUUGCCGCUUGGUGGGCUAUAUAAAGGAACAACAAGGCAUAGGCUAUCGGCUAUAAUAAAAUGAGACAAAUUUUUAAUCGUAAUAAAAUAUAAACGGAAUAAAAAUGUAGACUAACGAAGUAAUCCUUGGGUCGCAGGUUUAGGCCGAUUUUUCGACCUCUCUCGCCACUCCUCGUAUGCCUUCAAGCUCACCUCCUGCCUCCUUUUCCGUUCUUCCUCGUCUUGUUCUUCCUUCAACUGCUGCGCUCUUUGUUGCGCUGCCGUAACGAAGAUUUUAUUAUUCUUACAUGAAUAAUAUUAUAAUAUUCGUGAAUAAAAUGUGAAAUUGGAGCGCGACGGUACGAUUAUUUAUAAUACUAAAUAUGUGUACCAUUUACCUUUCUGUUCCUCUUCCUUUUUACGAGUCCAUUGUCGAAGGCACAAGGCUUUUGCGACUAACGCUUUCUCCUCAAAUUCUUUCAAUUGUUUUUCCAUUUCGAUUUCCUUCUCAAGGGC